rnacentral:sRNA from 19 species
UAUCUCUCCGUACGGGGAAGGAUGAGAAGCUUCGACUAAGGUUCGAUUCGAGCGCAGCGAGAAAACGUUGCCGCAGGCAACGACCCGAAGGGUGAGGAGCGGAGCGACGAAUAAUCCUUCCCCCACCACCA